ACCACAAGACUUCUCCCUCUCUGUCUCUCUCUUCUCUCUCUUUCUCUCUCUAGAAAUUGCAAAAAAGCAUUCAAAGAUAGAGGGGCGCAGAGCCAAAGAAGCCAUGCACACAAUGAAAUGUAUGAUCCAUUCUCGUGCUCUCUCUCUAAAUUCCAUUAAAUUUCCAAAAGCGGUUUCGGGGGAAGUUUCAUCCAUUCAUUACAGAACAAGUUGCGGGCUUAUUGACAUGGACGACUUUAUCUCUCUAGAAGUUUAACCUUCACUGACAAGUUGAUGCAGAAGUAAGAUUUCUCUUGCAGUUUUUAUGGAAAACUAGAGCCUUAAAUAUGGGUGCCCACAAAAUUUGGAGCCCUCAAAGCUGAACUCUUGUUUGGAAACACUAGUAGGUGAUUUUGUUUUCCAUAAGCUAUUUAGGUUUCCUGGCUUAUUGUCACCCUUACUUGAGAGUAGUCUUCGACAAAUCGAACCGGACUCAAAAACCGGUCUAGGGCGGGGUCUAAGUAACCGAUAAACCGAUAGUAAUUAACAUGUUUUGGCCAUUCAAUCCAUAGUUUAUCAAUUACAAGUUGAUAUUUGAUUGCGAUUUGUAUUGAAAAGUAUACAAAGUGACUAUUUACUUUUGUUACAAGGAUUCACAAUCAUUUUUGUCCGUCAUAUUCCAAAUUAAGCAGUUGUAAUAGUAUCACUAACUAGACUCAAAGUCUUUUGAAGAACCUGAAACUAAGCACUAUGCCAGGGUGAGGGGAAGAUGUUCCAAGGAAAGAAAUUGGGUUCCCAAUGCUUCUCCAUGCCCAACAAGACACGCCAGCCUCGGGAUGCUUUAUUUCUACAAAAACAAAUUCUUGAACUUUAUGAUACACCCUAAACCAUCCAAUUGACAUCUAAGCUAGAAGUGCUUGUUAUCACCUUAUAACAAAAAUAAAUGAUUUGAUAGUAUAUAAUCUUAUUUAUACAUUGAAUGAGAUUUUUUUUGUCAUAACCUAUCCAUGGCAUUCAUUACAUAAUAGAUGGUUCGUAUUUUAUCCUUAUUGUUUUAAUUGAACAACUCAUUCACUCAGGUUUUACUUAUUUGCACAAUCGUAUUUAAAUUUCUAGCAUUCACCUCUUAAUAUAUAUGGAUCUCCCUUAAAUUUGAAAACCAUCGAUCAUUGCAAUGGACUUUUAAUGGGUGAGCAAAAUGUUGGGUGAUACCUUGUGGGGUCCAGCCCAUAAGGACUAAAAAGAAAACAAAGGACUCAAUAAAAAUAAGAAAAUAUUAGAGAGAGAUGGAGAACAUUGGGGGUGUUUAAAAGACAAAAACCAUUGGGCUUUUUCAACACGGUAGAGAGAGAGAACAAGGAGAGGGCAUCAACUUCCAUCCACCAACGAUCUCCAUGAGCGAUCAUCUCCACUAGCGAGCAUCUUCCACCACUGAGUACCCUUCAUCCACAAAAACAGUUGGUGUACUCUGUGAUUGCAUCUUCCAAGUUUUUUGAGGUGGGAAAGAGACCAUUUUUUGGAGCUUGUGAGGUAACUCUAUAUCUUCUCCAAGUUACUGUUGUUCUCUCAUUUGAUUGUAAGCCUUAAGUUUUGGGCAAAAACAUGAGAAGAAACUAUAUUGUAACCCUCAUUUGAUUUUAGUGGAUUCC
rnacentral:lncRNA from 1 species